rnacentral:rRNA from 1 species
AGUGAACGCUGGCGGUAGGCCUAACACAUGCAAGUCGAACGGCAGCACAGUAAGAGCUUGCUCUUACGGGUGGCGAGUGGCGGACGGGUGAGGAAUACAUCGGAAUCUACUUUUUCGUGGGGGAUAACGUAGGGAAACUUACGCUAAUACCGCAUACGACCUACGGGUGAAAGCAGGGGAUCUUCGGACCUUGCGCGAUUGAAUGAGCCGAUGUCGGAUUAGCUAGUUGGCGGGGUAAAGGCCCACCAAGGCGACGAUCCGUAGCUGGUCUGAGAGGAUGAUUCGGCACAAUUGAACUGAGGCACCGUUCAGGACUCUUAGGGAGGCAGGAGGGGGGAAUAUUUGGCAAUGGGGGGAAGCCCUAACCCAGCCUUACGGGGUGGGUAAAGAGGCCCUUCGGGUUGAAAAGCCCUUUUGUGGGAAAGAAAAGGCGCCGGGUUAAUACCCCCCGUUCCGAAGGUUCCCAAAGAAUAAGCACCGGCUAACUUCGUG